GGUUUGUAGCUCAGUGGUAGAGCACGUGCCUAGCAAGUCUGAGGCACUGAGUUCAAUCCUCAGCACCA
rnacentral:tRNA from 1 species